rnacentral:rRNA from 1 species
CGGAGGAUCCAAGCGUUAUCCGGAUUAUUGGGUUUAAAGGGUGCGUAGGCGGCCUGUUAAGUCAGGGUGAAGACGGUAGCUCAACUAUCGCAGUGCCCUUGAUACUGAUGGGCUUGAAUGGACUAGAGGUAGGCGGAAUGUGACAAGUAGCGGUGAAAUGCAUAGAUAUGUCACAGAACACCGAUUGCGAAGGCAGCUUACUAUGGUCCUAUUGACGCUGAGGCACGAAAGCGUGGGAUCAAACAGGAUU